GACGAACGCUGGCGGCGUGCUUAACACAUGCAAGUCGAACGAAGUGGCGAACGGGUGAGUAACGCGUAAUCAACCUGCCCUUGAGAGGGGGACAACAGCUGGAAACGACUGCUAAUACCGCAUACUGAAGGAGGGGAUUGCGACUGAUUAGCUAGCUGGAGGGGUAAAGGCCCACCAAGGCGAUGUUCAGUAGCCGGUCUGAGAGGAUGAACGGCAACAUUGGGACUGAGACACGGCCCAGACUCCUACGGGAGGCAGCAGGAGGGAAUAUUGCGCAAUGGGGGAAACCCUGACGCAGCAACGCCGCGUGGAGGAUGACACUUUUCGGAGCGUAAACUCCUUUUGUUAGGGAAGCGGUACCUAACGAAUAAGCACCGGCUAACUCCGUGCCAGCAGCCGCGGUAAUUC
rnacentral:rRNA from 1 species